rnacentral:rRNA from 1 species
GACAGAGGUGCCGAGCGUUAGGCGGAAUCACUGGGCUUAAAGCGUGUGUAGGCGGGCGGGCAAGUACCUUGUGAAAUCCCACGGCUCAACCGUGGAACGGCUGGGUAUACUGCCUGUCUUGAGCCAACUAGGGGCGAGCGGAACAGACGAUGGAGCGGUGAAAUGCGUAGAUAUCGUCUGGAACGCCAAAGGUGAAAACAGCUCGCUGGGGUUGUGCUGACGCUGAGACACGAAAGCCAGGGGAGCGAACGGG